AGAGUGUGUUCUCUUACACGCCUGAUCAGGUUUUGGUUAGCAACGGGGCCAAGUAGAGUAUUCAUCAAGCCUUUGCUUGCAGUUUGUUCCCCCAGAGAUGAGGGAAGCUUAAUUUGGAGUAUGAGACAAAUAUAUUUGUCUUGGCAGAAGAUUUUGACCGAUUGUUUUACAAUAUUUUUUUUAAUGUUUCCUUCUUCUGUGCCGAUUUUUUCUUUUUUAUUAUCAUUUUUAAUUAUUUAAAUAUGUAAAUCAGUAUAAUUAUCUAUAUUCAUGUAUUGAUUCAACCUACUGACACAAGUAAUUUCUUUUUCCCACUGACACAAGUAAUUUCUUUCUCCUACUGACACAAGCAAUUUCUUUCUA